rnacentral:rRNA from 1 species
GUCUAUGGCCAUGCUACCCUGAAGGUCCCUGAUCUCAUCUGAUCUCAGAAGCUAAGCAGGGUCGGGCCUGGUUAGUACUUGGAUAGGAGACCACCGUGUAAUAUCAGGUGCUGUAAGUG